UACGUAGGGUGCGAGCGUUAAUCGGAAUUACUGGGCGUAAAGCGUGCGCAGGCGGUCUGUUAAGACAGAUGUGAAAUCCCCGGGCUUAACCUGGGAAUUGCAUUUGUGACUGCACGGCUAGAGUGUGUCAGAGGGGGGUAGAAUUCCACGUGUAGCAGUGAAAUGCGUAGAUAUGUGGAGGAAUACCGAUGGCGAAGGCAGCCCCCUGGGAUAACACUGACGCUCAUGCACGAAAGCGUGGGGAGCAAACAGG
rnacentral:rRNA from 1 species